GUGGGGAAUCUUCCGCAAUGGACGAAAGUCUGACGGAGCGACGCCGCGUGAGUGAAGAAGGCCUUCGGGUCGUAAAGCUCUGUCAUCAGGGACGAACGGCCGGUGGAGUGGAAAGCCACCGGAUUGACGGUACCUGAGAAGGAAGCCACGGCUAACUACGUGCCAGCAGCCGCGGUAAUACGUAGGUGGCAAGCGUUGUCCGGAAUUAUUGGGCGUAAAGCGCGCGCAGGUGGGAUCUUAAGUCCAUUUUUAAAGUUCGGAGCUCAACUCCGUGAUGGGAUGGAAACUGGGAUUCUUGAGUACCGGAGAGGAAAGCGGAAUUCCCCGUGUAGCGGUGAAAUGCGUAGAUAUGGGGAGGAACACCAGUGGCGAAGGCGGCUUUCUGGACGGUGUCUGACACUGAGGCGCGAAAGCUAGGGGAGCGAACGGGAUUAGAUACCCUAGUAGUCC
rnacentral:rRNA from 1 species